rnacentral:rRNA from 1 species
UACGUAGGGUGCAAGCGUUGUCCGGAAUUAUUGGGCGUAAAGAGCUCUGUAGGCGGUUUGUCGCGUCUGCUGUGAAACCCGAAGGCGUCAACCUCGGGCCUGCAGUGGGUACGGGCAGACUAGAGUGCGGUAGGGGAGAUUGGGAAUUCCUGGUGGUAAGCGGUGGAAUGCGCAGAUAUCAGGAGGAACACCAAUGGCGAAGGCAGAUCU